GUGCUCGCUUCAGCAGCACAUAUACUAAAAUUGGAAUGAUAAAGAGAAGAUUAGCAUGGCCCCUGCGCAAGGAUGACACGCAAUUUGUGAAGUGUGCCAUAUUUCA
rnacentral:snRNA from 1 species